AGUGAACGCUGGCGGUAUGCCUAACACAUGCAAGUCGAACGGCAGCACAGAAGAGCUUGCUCUUACGGGUGGCGAGUGGCGGACUGGUGAGGAAUACAUCGGAAUCUACUUUUUCGUGGGGGAUAACGUAGGGAAACUUACUCUAAUACCACAUACUACCUACGGGUGAAAGCAAGGGAUCUUCGGACCUUUCGCGGUUGAAUAAGCCGAUGUCGGAUUAGCUAGUUGGCGGGGUAAAGGCCCACCAAGGCGACGAUCCGUAGCUGGUCUGAGAGGAUGAUCAGCCACACUGGAACUGAGACACGGUCCAGACUCCUACGGGAGGCAGCAGUGGGGAAUAUUGGACAAUGGGCGAAAGCCUGAUCCAGCAAUACCGCGUGGGUGAAGAAGGCCUUCGGGUUGUAAAGCCCUUUUGUUGGGAAAGAAAAGCAGCAGGUUAAUACCCCGCUGUUCUGACGGUACCCAAAGAAUAAGCACCGGCUAACUUCGUG
rnacentral:rRNA from 1 species